GCCUGGGCAUGGCCAGGAGCUUCGCUUUGGUGCCUGAUUCUUCUCGGAGGGUCCCAGUCCCCCCAGCCGCAUCUGCACUCUAACAAAGGCAGGCUCCUCUCCACAGCCCACAGGAUGAUCCCGCUGUGUUGGCGCUACCUUGGUUCACAUUCUGGACAAAGAGACUCUUCUGGGGAGACAGCAUCAGUUUUCAAAGAGGAAGGAGCGAGUCCCCCACAUGUUAUCAAAGACGUCCAUUCUACCAUACAA